AUUGAACGCUGGCGGCAGGCUUAACACAUGCAAGUCGAACGAGUGGCGGACGGGUGUGUUAUGUUUGGGAAUCUGGCUUAUGGAGGGGGAUCACGACGGGAAACUGUCGCUUAUACCGCGAACCAUAGGAUGAGCCCAAGUGGGAUUAGGUAGUUGGUGGGGUAAUGGCCUACCAAGGCGACGAUCUCUAGCUGGUGUGAGAGGAUGACCAGCCACACCGGGACUGAGACACGGCCCGGACUCCUACGGGAGGCAGCAGUGGGGAAUAUUGCACAAUGGGGGCAACCUGACGCAGCCAUGCCGCGUGAAUGAAGAAGGCCUUCGGGUUGUAAAGUUCUUUCGGUGACGAGGCGUUAAUCACAGAAGAAGCACCGGCUAACUCCGUGCCAGCAGCCGCGGUAAUUC
rnacentral:rRNA from 1 species